rnacentral:rRNA from 1 species
AGCUUGCUUGGUGGAUCAGUGGCGAACGGGUGAGUAACACGUGAGCAACCUGCCCUGGACUCUGGGAUAAGCGCUGGAAACGGCGUCUAAUACUGGAUAUGAGCCCCUAUCGCAUGGUGGGGGUUGGAAAGAUUUUUUGGUCUGGGAUGGGCUCGCGGCCUAUCAGCUUGUUGGUGAGGUAAUGGCUCACCAAGGCGUCGACGGGUAGCCGGCCUGAGAGGGUGACCGGCCACACUGGGACUGAGACACGGCCCAGACUCCUACGGGAGGCAGCAGUGGGGAAUAUUGCACAAUGGGCGAAAGCCUGAUGCAGCAACGCCGCGUGAGGGAUGACGGCCUUCGGGUUGUAAACCUCUUUUAGCAGGGAAGAAGCGAAAGUGACGGUACCUGCAGAAAAAGCGCCGGCUAACUACGUGCCANCAGCCGCGGUAAUACGUAGGGCGCAAGCGUUAUCCGGAAUUAUUGGGCGUAAAGAGCUCGUA